UGUGUGUGUGUGUGUGUGUGUUUGGCCAUGGACGGAUUAUGAACUUUCGGGCCCCUGGGCCCAGUUGUAUUAAGGGCCCCUCACUAAUUGUCACAUAUGUGGGAAGGGGGGUUUGGGGGUCCUCCCCCAGAAAUGUUUUAAUUUGUAUGAUGUGAUUUCCUGUA